GGAUGUGAGGGCAAUCUAGCUGCGACAUCAGUCACCCCACUGAUUGCCAGUGUUGAUUCGGCUAAUCUGGCUGGCUGGGCGGGUGUCCCCUUCCUCCCUCAGCACUCCACGUGCGUCCCUCCGAAGCUGUGCGCUUGGUCGAAGAGGGCGACCACCCCCGAUAGAGGAGGGCUGUUCCUUGAUCACUGGUAUACGAGAGUAGCUGCGUGCCCCUACUAGAACCUCCAAACAAGCUCACAAAAGAGGCUGUGUCAGUUUGAGAAUAGAUGCUGUUAAUACCUUCACAAUUCUUACUAUGAAGUUUCCUGACACAUCUAA
rnacentral:snRNA from 1 species